UCGGGGGUCGUCCAACGGUAGGACAGCGGCCUUUGGAGCCGCUGAUCCAGGUUCGAAUCCUGGCCCCCGAGCCA
rnacentral:tRNA from 1 species